UACGGGGGGGGCAAGCGUUGUUCGGAAUUACUGGGCGUAAAGGGCUCGUAGGCGGCCAACUAAGUCAGACGGGAAAUCCCCAGGCUCAACCUGGGAACUGCGUCUGAUACUGGAUGGCUUGAAUCCGGGAGAGGGAUGCAGAAUUCCAGGUGUAGCGGUGAAAUGCGUAGAUAUCUGGAGGAAUACCGGUGGCGAAGGCGGCAUCCUGGACCGGCAUUGACGCUGAGGAGCGAAAGCCAGGGGAGCAAACGGG
rnacentral:rRNA from 1 species